GCCGGGGUAGCUCAGUGGUAGAGCGAGGGCCUGAAGAGCCCUGCGUCGGGGGUUCAAUUCCCUCUCCCGGCACCA
rnacentral:tRNA from 1 species